UACGGGGGGGGUAAGCGUUGUUCGGAAUUACUGGGCGUAAGGGCUCGUAGGCGGCCAACUAAGUCAGACGUGAAAUCCCUCAGCUUAACUGGGGAACUGCGUCUGAUACUGGAUGGCUUGGAUUUGGGAGAGGAAUGCGGAAUUCCAGGUGUAGCGGUGAAAUGCGUAGAUAUCUGGAGGAACACCGGUGGCGAAGGCGGCAUUCUGGACCGACAUUGACGCUGAGGAGCGAAAGCCAGGGGAGCAAACGGG
rnacentral:rRNA from 1 species